CCCCUCUCAGGGUCAUAACUGGAGAGUUUCCAGUACUCAACCAGUCUCGGCUAUGGGAGGGAGAGUCAAGCAGAGGCCUACCCAUUCCAUUCCUAGCUUGUUCAGUGGUUAGCGAGUGGCAAACAAUCUGCCACAAGU